CAGGCCUAACACAUGCAAGUCGAGCGAGAAAGUGACUUCGGUCGCGAGUAAAGCGGCGAACGGGUGAGUACAACGUGGAUAAUCUACCCUAGGGUCUGGGACAACCCCGAGAAAUCGGGGCUAAUACCGGAUAAGACCACAGUAUCCAAGGAUACAGCGGUAAAAGAUUUAUCGCCUUUGGAUGAGUCCACGCCCCAUCAGGUAGUUGGUAAGGUAAAGGCUUACCAAGCCUAAGACGGGUAGCCGGCCUUAGCGGGUGAACGGCCACAUGGGGACUGAGACACGGCCCUGACUCCUACGGGAGGCAGCAGUGGGGAAUAUUGGGCAAUGGGCGAAAGCCUGACCCAGCGAUGCCGCGUGAGGGAUGAAGGCCUUCGGGUUGUAAACCUCUGUCAGGAGGGACGAUGGGACACUUGUGUCUUGACGGUACCUCCAGAGGAAGCCCCGGCUAACUCCGUGCCAGCAGCCGCGGUAAUACGGAGGGGGCAAGCGUUGCUCGGAAUUACUGGGCGUAAAGGGUCCGCAGGCUGUCAGGCAAGUUGGUUGUGAAAGCUCAAGGCUUAACCUUGGAAUUGCAUCCAAAACUGCCUGACUAGAGUCCAAGAGAGGUUGGCGGAAUUCCCGGUGUAGCGGUGAAAUGCAUAGAUAUCGGGAGGAACACCAGAGGCGAAGGCGGCCAACUGGCUUGGUACUGACGCUCAGGGACGAAAGCGUGGGUAGCAAACCGGA
rnacentral:rRNA from 1 species